GACGUAGGGAGCGAGCGUUGUCCGGAUUCAUUGGGCGUAAAGGGCGCGUAGGCGGUUUGGUAAGUCGGAUGUGAAAUCCCGAGGCUCAACCUCGGGUCUGCAUCCGAUACUGCCCGACUAGAUGUAUGUAGUGGAGAUCGGAAGUCCUGGUGUAGCGGUGAAAUGCGCAGAUAUCAGGAGGAACACCGGUGGCGAAGGUGGAUCUCUGGGCCUUGCCUGACGCUGAGGGGCGAAAGCUAGGGGAGCGAACAGG
rnacentral:rRNA from 1 species